ensembl:lncRNA
GGAUCAGGAUUGAGACAUCUGCCCUUGAAGACUUGAGAAACAAUGUGAAUAAGGACAGAUGCAAUGAAAUGCACUUGCUCUUUUAGCUUUCACUGUUUUCUAACCAGAUAGAUCAGGUCUAAGAGCUGUUAAUGGUGAGAAAUUUCUACCAAAAUAGCUGCAUACAAACUGAAUUGAUUUCUCCCUUCAAAGGGUGAAGAUGAAGAAAGUUGCGUGAUGUCAUGAAGAGGCCAUAGUUCUUAUCCCAGGAAGCAUGUGCUUUGUUCCUACCUUAGCCCAGUAUGUUCAAAUGUUGACAUCCCUGGAGACAUGCUCUUUGCCUGAGGAGUCACUGGAGGAAAAAGAGACAAAAUGCUGAAGCAGGAAGUAUAUUGAGGACAGAAACCACUGAAGAGGGUGAUUAGUGAGGGAACGCAUGUACUGCAAAGGUACAACUAAAACGAACACAUCCAAUUUCAUUUUGACAUCAAUUAAUUCCAGUGGCCAACUUCAAUCCAAAAUAAGAGAUAUAAUGAUUUUAAGAGGAAAAACAGAUGAAGUAUUGCUCCUGAGAUAGAGUGGAGGUUGUUCCCCCACUCUGACUAUGGGACUGAACCACCCUUCCUGUGUAGCAGGAACUCUUCCCACUCUUUGAUCACUGGAGAACCACCACCUGGACCAUGUCUAGAAGUUAUGCCUGAAGGUAUUAUAUCUUAUCUGACCUUUUUUCACUAAAUCUUAUCUGUUGGCCAAAUGUAAAAGUCAUGACAUACUUGGAGACGUUGUCCUGUUUGGAACAAUACAGACUUCAUUCUCAAUGGCAUGCACAGAAUCAUAGAAUCAUAAAAUCACCAAAGUUAGAAAAGACCUCCAAGAUCAUCUAGUCCAACCUUAAACAUAUUCCAGUAGCUUUCUGGAUGAAGGCAUGCUGACAACUUGGCAGGUCCAGAAGAUGACGAAAUUUACCGUGCCGUGUGCAUUUUCUGUAGAAGUGAUUUUUCCUUAUAUCUUUCUCCUUGUAAUGAUUCUGUUCCCUCUGUGCAAGCCUACACUACAAGGCGUUGCCAGAAAAGAAGCUAAAACCAGCAGCUAAAUCUCUGAGCAGUGUACUUUACUGUAUUUCUGUCUGAGUACAUUAAGGAAUUGUGGAAGUUCUCACUCAGAGUUCUGCUGGAAAGCCCUAAAUCCAAAGUAGAUAAAGUCUGACUUUUUAUCCUACAUUUAGCUGCUAUUAUGAAUUAAAUUGUAGAAGAAAAGGAUGGAUGAGUAGUAAAAAUAGGGUCUUCCUCUGUCGUAUUAGAAAAUGUGAAUUUUUCUAGGAGCAUUUACCUAGCCAAUUGCAGCUGGAAAUAAGCAGUUCAUUGACAGUAGUAAAUAGGACAUGAUGAUUAUAAUUGAUUCUCAUUGUGAGGAAUGGACAGCAGGUUUAGCCAGCCAUCAGUGUAUUUCAGAGUGGUUAAAUAAUUAUGAAGAACUCAUAUCAUAAAUACUUUUUUUAUCAAAAAUAUCCUAUGGGAACAGUGACCUACAAGGUAGCUGGUUUAUUUUGUGUGUCUUGUUUGUUUGUUUGUUUUCCCAGGGAAAAGAACAAUACAGAAAAACAUACAUUCACAUAUUUUUUUGCAUCUUCUAAGAAGAACCAAAAGCAUUCAAUUAGGUUUUGGUAUUUCUUCAGAAGUAUUUUUUUUACUUCAAACUACUUUUAUCCUACUGAAAUGUACUUUUAUGAUCUCAGUGAAACACUGAGAAACUUUUUACAUCUCAGAUUCUCUACAGAUCUCAGAAACACUUCUCUGACUUCAAAUCAGAGUCCAGUCCUAUUCACAUCAGUGAAAAUAGGCUAUUUUAUGUUACUCAAAAAACCUGUGAUCCUGAAAUAGAGAUCAAAUAGGAGUGUGAUAUAAAAUUGAUAACUAAAACCAUGUAAAAUUCUCAGUAAAAGGUUGUAACUGUGGAUUGUUUUAGCUUUCUUAGUAAUUUCAGCACUUCUAAGUGAUUUCUGAAGAAACAAAUGAUGAAUGAAGUUAAUGCCUCGUUUUUCACCCAUUAUAACAAAGAGACCACAAAGAAAGUCUUACAUCUAGAUUCAGCCAUGAUUAAUGAGAAAGAAAAACAAUAAAGGAGGUAGCAGGAUCCAUCACAAUAAAGCCUGCAGUUAAGGCGAUGUCUCAGACUCAAAGACCUGAUUACCUGAACAAGAAUUUGUAAAUUCAGGAUAAGUUAUCAUUUACUUUUUAAUUUAUUUUAGUUCACGAUUUUGCAUGUGUUCUCGUAGUUAAUUUGCAUUAUCUGGAAAUGUUGUGGUACAUUUUCAAACCCAACUGAUGUGACAGUCAUGAAGGUAUAUCUGUGUGCAUUUGUUUAACAGUGCACUGGUCCUUUUCGUCCUUAUUAUUCCAGAAAAACCAGAAACCCACCAAGUAUAAGGGCAUCAGAAUUUAUUACAUUCUUUGUUCCUACUGUUGUCCUUUUCAUAGCAGGUUAACUAUCUGUCUGGUAUACAUAAAGAAAAUUGUAUAAAAUAUGAAGAUGCUCAUAGAUGUUCACUGGAACUCUGAUGUACAGGUGUACACACUGGUCUUGUUAUGGUGAUACAAAACUUUAAUUCACACAUUUCUCCAGUCCUGAGUGAUACUGAGAACACCUGACUUGUCAGACUGAAAAUUUGGCACUGCAGUAACACACAUAUUUAUUCCAAAAACAGAACAUUGGUAGCUUCGCUGCUAUAAGUAAGCUAAAUCAAAAGAUGAUGGAUAACAUCAGAAAUUUGUGCAUAGAGUUGCACCUAUCAUAUGCUAUCCUCCUUUGUCCCACGGGUUCCAAUACAGAUAUAAUAUGGUUAUAUUCUUUAAUAUGAACACUGGAAAGCCUGUCACAAGAAAAGGCUGAUCAUAUGAUCCCAUAAAGAAUUUAUAACACUACCUGUGGCUAAAUUUAUACGUUUCAUCCACAGGUGAGGAUGUUUCUCAGUGAAACAAAGCAAAGUUCUCCUGGAUGAUGAAAUUAAAUUUGGAUAGGAUCUGCAUCUUGUUUUAAACCUGACAAAAUCUGACCAGUGGAAAUGUUGGACUGUCUGAAGUAUUAAAUGCCCUAUAAAAAUAAAUGACUGUGUUGAAUG